GCUAGCUACAGGCUUAACACAUGCAAGUCGAGGGGCAGCAUGGUCUUAGCUUGCUAAGGCCGAUGGCGACCGGCGCACGGGUGAGUAACACGUAUCCAACCUGCCGUCUACUCUUGGACAGCCUUCUGAAAGGAAGAUUAAUACAAGAUGGCAUCAUGAGUCCGCAUGUUCACAUGAUUAAAGGUAUUCCGGUAGACGAUGGGGAUGCGUUCCAUUAGAUAGUAGGCGGGGUAACGGCCCACCUAGUCUUCGAUGGGUAGGGGUUCUGAGAGGAAGGUCCCCCACAUUGGAACUGAGACACGGUCCAAACUCCUACGGGAGGCAGCAGUGAGGAAUAUUGGUCAAUGGGCGAGAGCCUGAACCAGCCAAGUAGCGUGAAGGAUGACUGCCCUAUGGGUUGUAAACUUCUUUUAUAAAGGAAUAAAGUCGGGUAUGGAUACCCGUUUGCAUGUACUUUAUGAAUAAGGAUCGGCUAACUCCGUGCCAGCAGCCGCGGUAAUACGGAGGAUCCGAGCGUUAUCCGGAUUUAUUGGGUUUAAAGGGAGCGUAGAUGGAUGUUUAAGUCAGUUGUGAAAGUUUGCGGCUCAACCGUAAAAUUGCAGUUGAUACUGGAUAUCUUGAGUGCAGUUGAGGCAGGCGGAAAUUCGUGGUGUAGCGGUGAAAAUGCUUAGAUAUCACGAAGAACUCCGAUUGCGAAAGGCAGCCCUGCUAAGCUGCAACUGACAUUGAGGGCUCGAAAGUGUGGGUAUCAAACAGGAUUAGAUACCCUGGUAGUCCACACGGUAAACGAUGAAUACUCGCUGUUUGCGAUAUACAGCAAGCGGCCAAGCGAAAGCGUUAAGUAUUCCACCUGGGGAGUACGCCGGCAACGGUGAAACUCAAAGGAAUUGACGGGGGCCCGCACAAGCGGAGGAACAUGUGGUUUAAUUCGAUGAUACGCGAGGAACCUUACCCGGGCUUAAAUUGCAGAUGAAUUACGGUGAAAGCCGUAAGCCGCAAGGCAUCUGUGAAGGUGCUGCAUGGUUGUCGUCAGCUCGUGCCGUGAGGUGUCGGCUUAAGUGCCAUAACGAGCGCAACCCUUGUUGUCAGUUACUAACAGGUCAUGCUGAGGACUCUGACAAGACUGCCAUCGUAAGAUGUGAGGAAGGUGGGGAUGACGUCAAAUCAGCACGGCCCUUACGUCCGGGGCUACACACGUGUUACAAUGGGGGGUACAGAGGGCCGCUACCACGCGAGUGGAUGCCAAUCCCCAAAACCUCUCUCAGUUCGGACUGGAGUCUGCAACCCGACUCCACGAAGCUGGAUUCGCUAGUAAUCGCGCAUCAGCCACGGCGCGGUGAAUACGUUCCCGGGCCUUGUACACACCGCCCGUCAAGCCAUGGGAGCCGUGGGUACCUGAAGUGCGUAACCGCGAGGAGCGCCCUAGGGUAAAACUGGUGACUGGGGC
rnacentral:rRNA from 1 species